ACGGAAGGUAGCAGUGGGGAAUAUUGGACAAUGGGGGAAACCCUGAUCCAGCGACGCCGCGUGAGUGAAGAAGUAUUUCGGUAUGUAAAGCUCUAUCAGCAGGGAAGAUGAUGACGGUACCUGACUAAGAAGCCCCGGCUAACUACGUGCCAGCAGCCGCGGUAAUACGUAGGGGGCAAGCGUUAUCCGGAUUUACUGGGUGUAAAGGGAGCGUAGGCGGCGUUGCAAGUCAGAUGUGAAACCCCGGGGCUUAACUCCGGGACUGCAUUUGAAACUGUGAUGCUAGAGUGCGGGAGAGGUAAGCGGAAUUCCUAGUGUAGCGGUGAAAUGCGUAGAUAUUAGGAAGAACACCAGUGGCGAAGGCGGCUUACUGGACCGUAACUGACGCUGAGGCUCGAAAGCGUGGGGAGCAAACAGGAUUAGAUACCCUGGUA
rnacentral:rRNA from 1 species